UGAAAAGUGAUUUUUCUUUACAAAAAAUUUAGGAAAACGUUCUUGAACGUAUGAUAUCUUGUGAAUUGGUAUUUUUUCCAAAUUUAGGAAUGACUUCAUAAAUGUUUAAAUAGAGUUUUUGAAUGUAACUUGUAUGUAGAUUUAGGAAGUUAUUCGUAAAUGUUUAUAACAACUUCAUGAAUUUGAUUUAUAUGCGUAUUCAGGAAAAUAUUACUCAAUAUAUAAUAAUUUUUAAAAAUUAUGAAGAUGAUUUGAAAUAAGUAUAAUAUGUUUAUAAAAAUUUUGAUAUCAAACUCCAAAUGUCUCCCGAAAACUUUGGAAAAAUAUAAUCGAAGUGACAUGUUGUCAAAUAUUUUUAUAAUAAUGACAUUAAAUAUAAUAUUUUAAACUUACUAAAGAUACUUUUGUAAUUAAAACUGACUCUCAAAUAAUGUCAUGUGACCCCCAAGGCUCCUCAAGAGAAUAGCCGCAUAAGGCAUAAUCUUCAAUAUUUGCUUUGAGUGGAAUCAACGUCUCCACAACGGCGAUGCAACAACGCCAGCCCCGAUCUUAAAAUCAUUGACUGAUUCAUUAGGGAUAGUUUUCAACCCCUAAUGCAAUCUUGGCUAAAGUAUGAGUGAUUAAUACUCUUAAAGUUCAUUCCUCUAGGCUUUUUCUUUUCUUUUUGCCAAGCUAUACUAUAUACACUAUAGAUAGACUAACAACUUUUAUAUUACAUACAAACUCUUUUCAUAUUUAUAUAAUAUUCACAUCUUUGGCAAAAAGAAAGAUUACAAACAAGGUACAAAAAGAUUUCUAAGAUUUUGCUUGCAAUUGUAUAAACAUAUUCAGAUUUAGCUACAAACUUGACAACUUAGGAAGGUUACUGAACUCUUAAUGUACCUAACUGAAAGAGAAGAAGUGAAAUAUAAUACAUCUGCAUCGAGGAAGGUUAGACAAUAUUGACUCUAAGUUCCGGACAUGAAUGGCUUCUCUUAUAGACGGCCUUGAGUUUCUAUCAGGACGGCCACACCAUAACCCAACUAUAGCAGCAAACAUUUAGCUUGUUGACUAUGAAAAUCCUCACCGAGAUUUCUCGUCAAUGGGUGAGACAAGUUGCAAAGUUUUCGAAGCAGAACACCAAAGCAGAGACACCACCUAAAACUGAUAUCUGGACACCGAGCAAAUAGAUAUACCAAUUUUCACUCAAAAUAUGGAUCUUGAACAUUUGAUUCAGUUCAAACACAAAAACAGUAAUCAAUAAACACUACAAGAAUUCAUCAAAUUAGCUACGGAUUGGCAAAGACGUUUCCGUAGCUAAAUGUAUUAGCUACAAAAAUAGUGACAGAAUAUAUAAUUUCAUUUUUGUUGCUAAAUUUGUAACUAACUUUAGCAAUCCGUAGCUAUAUAGCUAGAGAUAAAUUCUGUCGGUCUCUGUAACUAGAUAGCGACGUCUUGGCUAGAGAUAAAUUGUCUCCAUAAUUAUUAUACUUAUCAAUGGAUAACAUACGUACCAUAACCAAUCCCCAAAACUUAAAACUUAAACUCCAAAUCCCUAAUUUUAUAUACGUUAACCUAAAUUUACAAAUUUUGUGUGUAUCAUCAUCAACCCCUAAAACGUAAACUUCAAACCCAAACUCCAUACACUUUAAACUUAACCUACAAGUGUAUGUAUAUGAGCACCAAUCCCUAAACCUUAAAACACAAAACCCAAAUUCUAUACACUCGACCUAAAACCUACAAACAUACACCAAAGUCAUAUGUAUAUAAUUUAUUAGAAUGUAGCUUUAUAUAUAAUUUAUUAAAAUAUGCUAUAGGUCUGUCUAGUAAACAUUAUUACUCUAAUAUACAACUAAAGACUUAUAGUUUUAAAAAUUCCUUUUGAAAUUCAAAUUCAUAACUUGUAUUUAAAUCUUAAACCCUAAACACUAAUUAUAAACUCUAAAUCUUAAUGGCAAAAAAAUUUAAGUUUAAUCUCAAUUCUUAAUCUCCAACUUUUAAUUUCAAACCCCAAACUCCAAAACAAUAACAUAUAAACUAGUUGAUAACCAAUGAAUAUCUUAUCAGCUAAUCUACAUUCACUUAAACAAUUUAAGACGCUUGGAUGAGAUUUGAUCCAAGAGAUGAAAUUAAUUCUUUUUUUUAUCUCAUUUCUCUUCCUUCGAUAGAUUCUCUUUCUCUCUUUCUAUUGGUCAAUUUGUUCCUUUCUCUCUUUCUAUUGGUCAAUCCAUUAGUUGAUGGAUUACAAAUACUAACCGUUGAUAAAAAAUAAUCAGACGGUUCUGGUUAGUUUGUUCCUUCCUUUCUCUCGCUCACAUGUUUCAUCUCUUUCUUCUUACUCUUUCUCUCGCUCAGAUGUAAUUCUCUGUACCUUCUUCUGAUAAUUAAUAAUCUGUCUUUCUUCUUCAUUUAUGGAUUUAUUAUUUAGCAUCACAGUUGUUCCGUAGGACGAGGCUUCGAUGGUUCAGCUCGCUGGAGAUGAAUAAAGGGGGAACUUCUUAUCCUCUCUCUGCCAUUAACCUCGCCGGAAGGGUUUUCGUGAGCAGAGUUGGUGGUCGUGAGCUUGAACACAGAGGAGGUACGGCGUGGUGGUGGUGGUGCUAGCCGCCUCUGCUUACCGGAAAGUGAAGACAAAGCUUCAUGGUGGUGCGGCGGAUGAUGACAAAGACGUUUAGAUUUAGAUUUAGGUUUAGGUUUAAUUUUUUCUCGGUUUAGUGAUUUUUUUGCUUCGGUUUAGUUCUGUAAACCAAUUUCAGUAUAUAAAUAAAUUUUAAUUUUAUAAUUCAA